rnacentral:lncRNA from 1 species
AUCAAAUGUUUCAUACCUUCAUGUUUUUCAGUUAUACAUAUUAUGUUCUCAAGAAUGAAAUAUAUGCCAAAUAUGAUAAAACAGUGUUUCUUUGGAUAUUACUCUUUGAACAAUGCAUAUAGAAUAUUCAAUGAAAAGAUACUAGUUGUAGAAAGAUCAAUUUAUAUUAUUCUUAUUAAAACUAGAUCUUUUAUUGAGAAUAUAGUUUAUCACUUUGAUUCUAUGUAACAAUCUGAAUUUUGAUAGAAACAAUUGUUUAAGAUAAUUUGAUUAAAACUCAACUUGUAUAUCUUAUUGAUAAUUAUCUUAAGCAAAUAGAAUCUAAGCUAAAUUAAUUCUGAAAAUGAAAAAAAAAAAAUUUGACCUUGAUGAAUCCUUCUAUUGCCUCACAUGCUUGUCCUUGAACCAUUUUACUUAAUGAAGUUAUCUCUUUAGUUCAAGUGACUUGUGCUUGCUUAUAUUUAGACAAUCUCUUGAGUAAAGUGACUUAAUAUUCAAUUAUUGUCAUAUCUUAUGUUGAGUCAUCUAGCUAAGAAAUAUAUUGUAUGAAUGUUUUGUAUCUUGAAGAAACUAAUGACUUU